rnacentral:rRNA from 1 species
AACGUGGGAGCAAACAGAUUAGAUACCCUGGUAGUCCACGCCCUAACGAUGUCUACUAGUUGUUGGGGAGGGAGACCUCCUGGUGACGCAGCUAACGCGUGAAGUAGACCGCCUGGGGAGUACGGUCGCAAGAUUAAAACUCAAAGGAAUUGACGGGGGCCCGCACAAGCGGUGGAUUAUGUGGAUUAAUUCGAUGCAACGCGAAAAACCUUACCUGGCCUUGACAUGCCACUAACGAAGCAGAGAUGCAUCAGGUGCUCGAAAGAGAAAGUGGACACAGGUGCUGCAUGGCUGUCGUCAGCUCGUG